rnacentral:rRNA from 1 species
GACGAACGCUGGCGGCGUGCUUAACACAUGCAAGUCGAACGCUGAACCCGCUUCGGUGGGGGAUGAGUGGCGAACGGGUGAGUAACACGUGGGCAACCUGCCCCCGGCUCUGGGAUAACUCCAAGAAAUUGGGGCUAAUACCGGCUGUGACCGCUGGCCGCAUGGUCUGGUGGUGGAAAGGGUUUCCGGCUGGGGAUGGGCCCGCGGCCUAUCAGCUUGUUGGUGGGGUAGUGGCCUACCAAGGCGACGACGGGUAGCCGGCCUGAGAGGGUGACCGGCCACACUGGGACUGAGACACGGCCCAGACUCCUACGGGAGGCAGCAGUGGGGAAUAUUGCGCAAUGGGCGGAAGCCUGACGCAGCGACGCCGCGUGGGGGAUGACGGCCUUCGGGUUGUAAACCUCUUUCAGCAGGGACGAAGCGCAAGUGACGGUACCUGCAGAAGAAGCACCGGCCAACUACGUG